AAGUGUUUAAUUUUUUCUGUGAUUGUUUGCAGGUGAGCACACAGGACCAAUUUGGUGUAUGAAAUUUAGUGGUUGCGGUCGAUUAUUGGCAACCGCUGGACAAGAUCAUGUCUUAAGAGUGUGGGUCCUUAAACAGGCUUUUAAUUAUUUUCUAGAUAUACGUACAAAAUGUAAUGCUGACAUUAAGGUAUCGCCAACACCGUCCCAGGAAUCUUUAGUUUCUCAACAUUCAGGGCAGUCAGGGGAAGAUUUAGGAUCCUUAGACCCCAACGAUGAUGGCAGUGCCCCUUUUAUGCCGAAACCUUUUUGUGUCUAUACUGGACAUACAGCUGACAUGCUUGACAUAUCAUGGUCUAAGAAUUAUUUCCUUCUGACAUCCUCAAUGGACAAAACAGUGAGACUUUGGCAUAUCAGCCGCAAGGAGUGUCUCUGUAUUUUUCAACAUAUGGAUUUUGUUACUGCAAUUGCUUUUCAUCCCAAGG